GAGCAAGGCCAGUGAUCAUAUAUUUGAAUGCCUGUUGUCUUGUCAUUCUUAAUUAUUAAUAGUGUCUUCUUUACUCUAAAUGUCCCAGUUUGGAUAAUAGAUUAUAUGAUCACUCUAUGUACAAUGCAUAUUCUUUGGCAUCUGUGUUUCUACUAUUCCCCAAUUCCCAAAUUGAUUGAUGUCCAGGAAUAAUUUGGAUGUUUGCAUUUGCUGUUAGGUUAAAUACCGAGAAAAUUUCGAUAAAGAAAAGGGCAAGACACCAAAAUACAAUCCAAAAGACAGCCAGCUCUACAAAGUCAUGAAAGAUGCUAAUAAUCUUGCAAGUGAGGUUAAAUACAAGGCUGACCUGAAGAAACUUCACAAACCCGUGACUGACAUGAAGGAGUCUCUGAUCAUGAAUCAUGUCCUGAAUACAAGCCAACUUGCCAGUUCUUACCAGUACAAGAAGAAGUAUGAGAAGAGUAAAGGCCACUACCACACCAUACCCGAUAAUCUGGAGCAGCUUCACCUAAAAGAGGCCACAGAAUUACAGAGUAUAGUGAAAUACAAAGAAAAGUAUGAAAAGGAACGAGGAAAACCCAUGCUGGACUUUGAAACACCAACGUACAUCACUGCCAAAGAGUCUCAGCAGAUGCAGAGUGGG
rnacentral:sRNA from 1 species